CCGAUGUCGGAUUAGCUAGUUGGUGAGGUAAAGGCUUACCAAGGCGACGAUCNGUAGCUGGUCUGAGAGGAUGAUCAGCCACACUGGGACUGAGACACGGCCCAGACUCCUACGGGAGGCAGCAGUGGGGAAUUUUGGACAAUGGGCGCAAGCCUGAUCCAGCCAUGCCGCGUGAGUGAAGAAGGCCUUCGGGUUGUAAAGCUCUUUCNGCCGGAACGAAAUCGUCCGGGCUAAUACCCCGGAUGGAUGACGGUACCGGAAGAAGAAGCACCGGCUAACUACGUGCCAGCAGCCGCGGUAAUACGUAGGGUGCNAGCGUUAAUCGGAAUUACUGGGCGUAAAGCGUGCGCAGGCGGNUUNGUAAGUCAGAUGUGAAAUCCCCGGGCUUAACCUGGGAACUG
rnacentral:rRNA from 1 species